GGUAAAUAAUACUCUUGUAGAUGGAUGGGUAGGUGGGUAGAUAAUACCCUUCUAGACAGACGGGUGGAUGGACAGAUAAUACCCCUAUAGAUGAACAGGUGCUUGGAUGGGCAAAUGACCACAGGACAAGCAGGUCAAACUCCAUAUAGGAGGUCUGUACACUCAGAACUGGGGACAACAGAACUGGCUGUGCUGGUGGCCCUCACCUGGCCCUCAGCCACAUUCCCUGGGAAAGGAUAGAAGCCUCUGGUCUUGCUCACUUGGCCCUUGGCACUCUGAGCCCCAUACCCUGGUGUCUAUCUUCAUCCACUGCGUCUGCCCCAAGAAGCAGGUUGUCAGGAGCUGUUUCCCUGGGUGGUAUCGGAUCUGCCACAGGAAAUCCUGGAGGAGGGAGCCCCAGGCGCCAAUCUCUGGCCCACCACCAUCACCUUCCUCACUCUCUUCCUGCUGAGCUUGUUCUACAGCACGGCUCUGACCGUGACAAGCAUCCGGGGCUCACCUAGCAGCAGAGAAGGUCCUCAAUAUUGAGCAGAGCCUGCAAGGAACAGGGAGAGAGCAUGGAGAAGCCUCUCUGAGAAGCCAGCUACACAUGCCAGAACUCAACCCCACAUGAGGCCAACAGCUGCCCCACUUGCCUGCCUUUCUGUGCAAUAAAAUGAUCCAAAG